AACGAACGCUGGCGGCGCGCCUAACACAUGCAAGUCGAACGGGCAGUUAUCUUCGGAUUUCUGUCAGUGGCGGACGGGUGAGUAACGCGUGGGAACCUGCCCAAGGGUUCGGGAUAACCGUGGGAAACCAUGGCUAAGACCGGAUACGGCCGAGAGGCGAAAGAUUCAUCGCCCUUGGAGGGGCCCGCGUCGGAUUAGCUAGACGGUGGGGUAACGGCCUACCGUGGCCUCGAUCCGUAGCUGGUCUGAGAGGAUGACCAGCCACACUGGGACUGAGACACGGCCCAGACUCCUACGGGAGGCAGCAGUGGGGAAUCUUGGACAAUGGGGGCAACCCUGAUCCAGCGACGCCGCGUGGGUGACGAAGGCCUUCGGGUUGUAAAGCCCUUUUGCCGGGGACGAUGAUGACGGUACCCGGAGAAUAAGCACCGGCUAACUCCGUGCCAGCCGCCGCGGUAAUAC
rnacentral:rRNA from 1 species